GGCUCAGAUUGAACGCUGGCGGCAUUGCCUUACACAUGCAAGCCGAACGGGCAGCACGGGAGCAAUCCUGGUGGCGAGUGGCGAACGGGUGAGUAAUGUAUCGGAACGUGCCUUGGUCGUGGGGGAUAACGUAGCGAAAGCUACGCUAAUACCGCAUACCAUCUAAGGAUGAAAGCGGGGGAUCGCAAGACCUCGCGCGACAAGAGUGGCCGAUAUCAGAUUAGGUUGUUGUGGGUAAGGCCUACCAAGCCGACGAUCUGUAGCUGGUCUGAGAGGACGACCAGCCACACUGGGACUGAGACACGGCCCAGACUCCUACGGGAGGCAGCAGUGGGGAAUUUUGGACAAUGGGCGAAAGCCUGAUCCAGCAAUGCCGCGUGCAGGAUGAAGGCCUUCGGGUUGUAAACUGCUUUUGUACAGAACGAAACAGUCUCUCCUAAUACGGGGGGCGAAUGACGGUACUGUAAGAAUAAGCACCGGCUAACUACGUG
rnacentral:rRNA from 1 species